AAUGUUUUAUACUUUUUAUUUGCAUAUUUAAAAAAAAUUGUGCAUUCCAAUAAUUCAAAUCAUUUUGAACAAAUUAAAAUUUCACUUGAUUUGACCGCAUUUUACAGCUCGCUGGACUUUGAUGCAGCUUUCCUUUCACUCGAGGCCACAUGGUACUGAAUCUCCGUACCUCACCAAUUAUCCUUUUAUUAUAUAAUGCACGAUGCUCAAUGCCACCAGGACCAAAGCCAGCCAGACAGGCAGAUGGAGAGGCAGCGCCUUCAGUCAGUCAGUAGUUCUUUAUUCCUUUCUGUUCAUGUAACGGGCAGCACAGUAAAUGUUUUCCAACCUUUGUAUCUUUGUUAUUUUUUUUUACAAAGUUAAACAGCUAAAAGAAGUAAAAUAAGAAGGCAAUGCUUGUGGAAUGUACAGUGCAUAUCUGGGUGAUGGGAGAUUCAUUAUGAUUCAGUUGCUUGUUUCUCUUGCUCAAUUGCUAAAAAGAAGAAGGAAAAAGGGUGGAAGGAGGUAAAAAAAAA